rnacentral:rRNA from 1 species
AUUGAACGCUGGCGGCAGGCCUAACACAUGCAAGUCGAGCGGUAGCACAGAGAGCUUGCUCUCGGGUGACGAGCGGCGGACGGGUGAGUAAUGUCUGGGAAACUGCCUGGUGGAGGGGGAUAACUACUGGAAACGGUAGCUAAUACCGCAUAAUGUCGCAAGACCAAAGUGGGGGACCUUCGGGCCUCAUGCCAUCCGAUGUGCCCAGAUGGGAUUAGCUAGUAGGUGGGGUAACGGCUCACCUAGGCGACGAUCCCUAGCUGGUCUGAGAGGAUGACCAGCCACACUGGAACUGAGACACGGUCCAGACUCCUACGGGAGGCAGCAGUGGGGAAUAUUGCACAAUGGGCGCAAGCCUGAUGCAGCCAUGCCGCGUGUGUGAAGAAGGCCUUCGGGUUGUAAAGCACUUUCAGCGGGGAGGAAGGCGGUGAGGUUAAUAACCUCAUCGAUUGACGUUACCCGCAGAAGAAGCACCGGCUAACUCCGUGCCAGCCGCCGCGGUAA